AGAGUCGUACUUCGAAGACAUAGCCAGUCACGAUGACCCCGAGUCGGGCGUUGCCAUCCGUGAGGGUGGCGGCGAAGCGUCGACAGGGGCACACGCGGGCAGGGUAUUGAGCCGCGAAAAUUUCCCAUCUGGAGUGCCGACGCUGUGGAGAAAAGCGGAAGGCAACACGGCAGGCGCGUUAUGGCGAGCGGUCUGCCGGCUCCACGUGGUCGUAGACCC
rnacentral:ncRNA from 1 species